GUCCAUGCCGUAACGAUGAUUACUAGGUGUUGGAGGAUUGACCCCUUCAGUGCCGCAGUUAACACAAUAAGUAAUCCACCUGGGAGUACGACCGCAAGGUUGAACUCAAAGGAAUUGACGGGGCCCGCACAAGCAGUGGAGUAUGUGGUUUAAUUCGAAGCAACGCGAAGAACCUUACCAGGUCUUGACAUCCGAUGCAUAGCGCAGAGAUGCGUGAAGUCCUUCGGGACAUCGAGACAGGUGGUGCAUGGUUGUCGU
rnacentral:rRNA from 1 species